rnacentral:tRNA from 2 species
GUGGACAUAGUUUAAACAAAACACUAGAUUGUGAUUCUAGAAAUGAGAGCUAAUCCCCCUCUGUCCACC